rnacentral:rRNA from 1 species
AUUGAACGCUGGCGGCAGGCCUAACACAUGCAAGUCGAACGAGUGGCGGACGGGUGAGUAAUGUCUGGGAAACUGCCCGAUGGAGGGGGAUAACUACUGGAAACGGUAGCUAAUACCGCAUACCAUCGGAUGUGCCCAGAUGGGAUUAGCUUGUAGGGGAGGUAACGGCUCACCUAGGCGACGAUCCCUAGCUGGUCUGAGAGGAUGACCAGCAACACGGGAAGUGAGCCACGGUCCAGACUCCUACGGGAGGCAGAAGUGGGGAAUAGUGCACAGUGGGCGAAAGACUGAGGCAGCCAUGCCGCGUGUAUGAAGAAGGCCUUUGGGUUGUAAAGUACUUUCAGCGGGGAGGCGUUACCCGCAGAAGAAGCACCGGCUAACUCCGUGCCAGCAGCAGCGGUAAUUC